CCCAACCUCUCUCUGACUCAUGCACUCUCGCUUCGGGCUCUCUCACCAUGUGAUGCCUUCUGUCAUGGUAUGAUGCAGCUAGAAGGCCCUCACCAGAUGCAGCCCCUUAAUCCUGGACUUCCUGGCCUCCAGAACUGUGAGCCAAAUAUUAUAUUUGUGGAUUUUCAUAGUUCUUGACUUCUUAUACAAUCGGAGAAUUAGUGGAGGCUGGUUAUAAGUAGUAAGCAUGACUCAAGUUUAAGUCUUGGCCGCAGAAGCGAGAUGAUGAAGGGAACGUCAUCAUUUGGAAAGCAUUGCAAUAAGACGUACACGUUAUGCCACCACUGUGGCUCUAAGGCCUACCACCUUCAGAAGUCGACCUAUGGCAAAUGUGGCUACACUGCCAAGCGCAAGAGAAAGUAUAACUGGAGUACCAAGGCUAAAAGACGAAAUACCACCAGAACUGGUCAAAUGAGGCACCUAAAAAUUGUAUACCAUAGAUUCAGGCAUGGAUUCCGUGAAGGAACAACACCUAAACCCAAGAGGGCAGCUGUUGCAGCAUCCAGUUCAUCUUAAUGUCAACGAUUAGUCAUGCAAUAAAUGUUCUGGUUUUAAAAAAUACAAAAUAAAUAAAUAAAUAAAUAAAAAAUAAAUUAAAA
rnacentral:lncRNA from 1 species